UUGAUCCGUAGGGGACUAGCCUAUCCCGGCGGGCCGGGGAGAGGGCCCUGUGUGCGCUAACGGAACCCGAGGCCCAGGAACCAGCUUAAGGAGCGCCGCCCAUCUGACUGUAAAAGUAGCCGAGGUAGGUCCCUGGAUUCACCACAGCAGAGUGAAGCCGGCAUCCGGGGACUGGGAGUGCAUUCCUGAUCCGUCCACGUUGUGUAAGCUGACCAUACGGAAGAAGCGAGCUGCCACGGCGGAGACUGCAAUGGGAGACGACAGCCCUGCUUUAGUCACUCCGGAAGCUGACUAAUCUACGCACAGCGAAAGCUUGAGGAAUCGCCGGUCCGAAGAAAUAAAUAGACCGUCCUUAUUUCUUACAUCUGCCUCUUACUGUAAUGCACUGUCACCCCUUGUCU